rnacentral:rRNA from 1 species
UACGAAGGGGGCUAGCGUUGUUCGGAAUCACUGGGCGUAAAGCGCGCGUAGGCGGAUUGUUAAGUCGGGGGUGAAAUCCCGAGGCUCAACCUCGGAACUGCCUCCGAUACUGGCGAUCUCGAGUCCGGGAGAGGUGAGUGGAACUCCGAGUGUAGAGGUGAAAUUCGUAGAUAUUCGGAAGAACACCAGUGGCGAAGGCGGCUCACUGGCCCGGUACUGACGCUGAUAGCGCGAAAGCGUGGGGAGCAAACAGG